GAUGAACGCUGGCGGCGUGCCUAAUACAUGCAAGUCGAGCGAACGGACUAGAAGCUUGCUUCUCUGAUGUUAGCGGCGGACGGGUGAGUAACACGUGGAUAACCUACCUAUAAGACUGGGAUAACUUCGGGAAACCGUAGCUAAUACCGGAUAAUAUUUUGAACCGCAUGGUUCAAAAGUGAAAGACGGUCUUGCUGUCCCUUAUCGAUGGAUCCGCGCUGCAUUAGCUAGUUGGUAAGGUAACGGCUUACCAAGGCAACGAUGCAUAGCCGACCUGAGAGGGUGAUCGGCAACACUGGAAAUGAGACACGGUCCAGACUCCUAAGGGAGGCAGCAGUAGGGAAUCUUCCGCAAUGGGCGAAAGCCUGACGGAGCAAAGCCGCGUGAGUGAUGAAGGUCUUCGGAUCGUAAAACUCUGUUAUUAGGGAAGAACAUAUGUGUAAGUAACUGUGCACAUCUUGACGGUACCUAAUCAGAAAGCCACGGCUAACUACGUG
rnacentral:rRNA from 1 species